UGGCACAUCCUGUAGUGAUGUGGUGCUUGGGUCUGUUCUGGGAUCUUUGUUGCACUUGAAAUUUAGCAGAGCCUGGGUGGAUGAAUUGCCAUUUUUUUUCUCACUCUUCUUUUCCAGUGUGUGAAGGACCUGCAUGGAGCAUGUGCUUUCUGAGGCUUGGAGCUGGAGGCAAAGAAGGAAUUCUGAAGGACUGUGAAUGAGGGCAGUUAAUGACUUGUCCCCAUCAACAGGUGGUAUCUUCAUCUGGGUAUCCUGGGUGCAGACAUUGCAGCAGUCAGGACUCUGUAGCAGACAGAGUGUCAGGCCUGAAGGUGUCAAUCUUCAGGCUGUCUCCAUUUCCACCACUGGAAGAGUCAAGGAAGGAGUCAGUGCCUGGUAAGUGAGAUGAUCCCCUCCUUUCAGUGCACCUCAGCACUCAGGUUCCUUCAGUAGUGGGCCAGGCAUUCCUAUGAGCUAUGCUUGAGUAGCAAUGGUACCGCCUCGGUUUACAGACACUUAGUAACUACUCAGUUGUUCCUGGUGAACAUUCCCUGUCCUGUUUUCGGAGGAGUGUUAAUCUGAGUAUUUCAUUGUUGUAAUAGAUCACGGCCCCAAAAAUUCAUAGCUAUAUUAGCCACAUAUGGUUUUAAUUUUCCUCUCUUCCCUUCUGGACAUAUACAUUCAAGCGAUCUUGUGCUUUGUUUCACUUGAGAUAAGGUUCCAAUCUCUAACAGCUGAAUGUUUACCUCCUGAAGCAGCCAAUUUGGAUGCCAAAAUUCUGGUGCAAUUAUUGUCACACGUGUCUACCAAACCAUCCAAAAAUGUCA